AAGAAAUAACUCUUGCUUCUCAGUUUUUACUAUUUAUUAGUGCAAAGCUUUUCAAACACCAAGUGUUCAUCAUCAGGCUUAAAUCACUAUUGAACAAAAUAACCAAGUCUACAAGCUUAUAUACUAGUGUACAAGGGUGUGGUAGUUUAACAGUACAAGGGUGUGGCAGUACAAGGGUGUGGUCAUGUGGAAGAGGGUGUGGUUGUAGGUGAGGAUGUGGUAGGAGUCAUGUCUUCAAGUUUGGUUUUAAUAACAGAAAGUAGGAUAUUUUCUAAGGGUUUUAAGUCAUUAUUUAGUAAAUUUGUUUUGUUUUUCAUCAUGGCUAUUGCUUCCCUAAUGUUUAAUUGAGAUGGUUUAUCUAUUUUUUGUAUGAGGUUCAGGUUUUCAAAGGAAGUAGUGUGGUUGGUGGCAAUGAGAUGAUCUGAGAGAGCAGACUUAUUUUCAUAUUUGUAUUUAGCAUAAUAAAGAUGUUCCUUGAACCUCUUUUUGAUGUUUCUUUUGGUUUGACCUAUAUAAAUUCCUUGGCAAUCUUUACAUUUGAUUUUGUAGAUGCCACUACAGUCUUCAGGUUUGUCUUUGUCUUUAGUGUUACCAAGAAGGUUUUUAAUUUUGUUAUCAUUGGUGAAAAUGGGUUGUAUGUUGUGUUUUCUGAAGACUGUUUUCAUUUUAUUUGUGAGAGGGGGAUAGUAACUGAUCCUAACUCUUUUGACAUCAUCUUUUUCAGCAAUAAAGGUUGUGGCAUCUCUGAUUAGUUUUUUGUUUUCAUGUUUUCUUAUAAGUUUUUGGAUAGAUGUUUUUGUGUAGCCAAGGUUGGAAGCAAUAGACAUGAUGUUUUUUAUUUCUUUAUUUUGGUUAUUUUUAUUUAGGGGGAGAUUUAAACACCUGUGUAUCAUGCUGUUGAAAGCAGCAAAUUUUUGGUUCCAAGGCUGGAAAGAGUCUGAAGGAAUGUAGUUAUUGGUGUGGGUGGGUUUUCUAUAGAUAUCAAAUUCAAGAUGGUCAGAAUGUCUAAUGAUUAACAUGUCCAGAAAAGGGAGUUUGUUUUGUUGUUCAAGCUCAUAAGUGAAUUUGAUGGUAGGAUAGAGACUAUUUAAAGCAUUGAGGAAUUCCUCAAUGUUGAAGUCUUCAGGAAUGAUACACAGGAUGUCAUCAACAUAUCUAAACCAUGCUUUGGGAAAGUUUUUAUUGUUCUUUUUGAAUUUUGUCUCAAGGUGGCUCAUGAAAAAAUUUGCCAAAAAGGGAGAUAAGGGGUUGCCCAUAGCUGUGCCUCCUGUUUGUUUGUAGUAAGUUCCAUUUAUUUGGAAAAUGUUUUGGGAAGUGCAUAAUUUUAUAGUAUUCAUAUAAUGGGUUAUUUCUUUUUUGUUGAUAUUUUGUUCUUUUAGCCAGUUUUCUAUCAUUUCUAAAGUCUCAGGAAUAGGCACACUGGGGAAAAGAUUUUGUACAUCAAAAGAUAUGAGCCUGUCUGUGUCAUUAAUAGUAAUCCCUUGCAGUUUUUCUGCAAGUUCAUAAUUAUUUUUAACUUGAAGAGUUUCAGGAAAAGGAAGGUUUUGGAGGUUACAAAGGAGUUUUUUGGCAAUGUUAUAGGAAGGAGAGUUGAUAUUGGCCACAAUUGGUCUCAUAGGAUAGUUAGGUUUAUGGAUCUUGGGAAGACAGUACAUUUUAGGAACUUUAGGAUUGGAAGGAAAAGGAGUGUUAUUAAGGAAGGGAGUAGUUUUCACCAAACUUUUCACUUCUUUCACCAUUUUAUCCACAGGAUCACUUUUUAACUUCUCAUAAGGUCCUUCAUUAAGAAGGGUUUCACACUUUUCCAAGUAUUCAUCUUUCUUCAUUAUCACUACGGUGUUUCCCUUGUCUGCUUUCAUAUAGUAGACACCUUUCUGUCUCAAGCUUUUGAUGGUGUUGUUGUGGGGAUGAAAUGGAAUUCUUGUUGGUUUAUGGGUUUUGAUGAUGUCUACCACUUCUUUCUUUAUGCUGAUUUUUGUUUCUGAGGUCUCUCUCCACAAUGAAGCAUCCACAUCAGAAAUAAUAUCUUCAAUAGGAGGCCUCAUGGACUUGGUUAUUUUGUUCAAUAGUGAUUUAAGCCUGAUGAUGAACACUUGGUGUUUGAAAAGCUUUGCACUAAUAAAUAGUAAAAACUGAGAA